UCCUGCUGGAGCUGGUCAUCACAGCUGGGAGUGUUCCCCCUGACCAGCAGAUUCAGUUCAAUGUUCAGGAGUUGAUAAAGAAGCGACAGGGCCUGAAAUCGACUCUUUGUUUGUUUGUUUGUUUGUUUUUCGGUAAACGCAAACAAAUCCAUGUAUUCAAAUGUGAAGAUGGGAACAUGAGCAAGUGACAUCGCGACGCUCAGCGCUGGGACGUCUCAACUCCACACAUUUCCAGAUGCAUGCUGGGACGAAAACGACAUCAUGCAGACUCUGGCUAUUAUGAUGAUGAUGAUGAUGAUGAUGAUGCCAUCAUAUUCAGCUCUUGCAGAUCAAAGUUUAAAGUGUCAAAAUGAUUUCCACAACACCUUCACAUGUGUUUGGGACACCUCAAAACUGGACGUAAUCCCUCCGGUCCGACCCGAGACCAAAUGCUGGAUUACUGUAUCAGUUGAGAAGAAAAGGCAGGAAAAAAAGAAGGCGGAUUUGAUGGCAGACCCGAUGCAGCCUCACAUACGCUCUGCCACCGUGGUCUUUGAAAGCAAGAGAGGUAUAAUGUCAUCAACGGCCGAUUUACAUGAAGAAGUCCGGUGUGAAAACUACACAAAUCCUGUUGCUGAAAUAGCAAAACAUAUGGGAAGCGAUAGUGACGUGAAAGUGGCUCCUCCUCAGACAUUGGAAGUUCAUGGGAUCAAUGUUUCUUGGAGUUUCGAUUCUUUAAAAACCCACUUGCCAUCAUAUUAAUCUUCACCAUUCUCAUCAAGUGCAAGAGAAUCAAAAGGUGAGUGAUCACCUGUGAGGAGUCUUCAGACACACUCACACCACAGACAACAGCUACAACGAUAACUACAACUAAACGAUAACCAUAACGACAGCGAUAACUAUGUUGCUAAUAAUAACAAUAAUUAUAAUGACA
ensembl:lncRNA